GGUUGAUCCUGCCAGUAGUCAUAUGCUUGUCUCAAAGAUUAAGCCAUGCAUGUCUCAGUGUAAACUUUUAAACAGUGAAACUGCGAAUGGCUCAUUAUAAAAGUUAUAGUUUAUUUGAUAUUGACUUUUACAUGGAUAACCGUGGGAAUUCUAGGGCUAAUACAUGCGUACCCGCAAGGGGAGUGUUUAUUAGAUUAAAACCAUCACUGCAUUUAUGCAGUCCAGUUGGAAUAAUAAUAACCGAUCGAAUCGCACGCUAUAUGUGGCGAUAAAUCAUCCAAGUUUCUGACCU
rnacentral:rRNA from 1 species